AGAGUUUGAUCCUGGCUCAGGAUGAACGCUAGCGGCAGGCUUAACACAUGCAAGUCGAGGGGUAACAGGGAAAAGCUUGCUUUUUUGCUGACGACCGGCGCACGGGUGAGUAACGCGUAUACAAUUUACCUUAUACAGGAGGAUAGCCUUUAGAAAUGAAGAUUAAUACUCCAUGGCAUUAUGAUAUGGCAUCAUAUUAUAAUUAAAGAUUUAUCGGUAUAAGAUGAGUAUGCGUCCUAUUAGUUAGUUGGUAAGGUAAUGGCUUACCAAGACUUCGAUAGGUAGGGGUCCUGAGAGGGAGACCCCCCACACUGGUACUGAGACACGGACCAGACUCCUACGGGAGGCAGCAGUGAGGAAUAUUGGACAAUGGAGGCAACUCUGAUCCAGCCAUGCCGCGUGCAGGAAGACUGCCCUAUGGGUUGUAAACUGCUUUUAUAUAGGGAGAAACCCAACCACGUGUGGUUGGCUGACGGUACUGUAUGAAUAAGCACCGGCUAACUCCGUGCCAGCAGCCGCGGUAAUACGGAGGGUGCAAGCGUUAUCCGGAAUCAUUGGGUUUAAA
rnacentral:rRNA from 1 species